GCGGGAAUCCUAGGUCCUAUUCCCAACUAAGACAGAGCAGGACAACUACAACGCUCGGGGAAACCGCCCACGACUCUUCCGAGAGGAGACUGAAAGAGUUUGGCUUGUUUGGCCUAAAAACAAGGGAUGUGGUUGCUCCCUAACAUGAUGGCGCUGAGAGACCUGAAUCAGGGUGUGGGUCUGCACCCCAUCCGGAAUGUGCCGAGACCCUGGUUUCCUCUGGCUGAUCGGUGACGGUGCUGACACCACGAUCAGAGUCCUGACCCGCUGCAGCUGUGACAGCAACUCUAAAGACAAAACGGACAAGACCACAGAAGCACCAAAGAAAUGGCAGGAAAAGAGAAGGGAAGAAAAAGCCCUGGAGAAAG